UGGGGAAUUUUGGACAAUGGGGGAAACCCUGAUCCAGCCAUCCCGCGUGUGCGAUGAAGGCCUUCGGGUUGUAAAGCACUUUUGGCAGGAAAGAAACGUCAUGGGUUAAUACCCCGUGAAACUGACGGUACCUGCAGAAUAAGCACCGGCUAACUACGUGCCAGCAGCCGCGGUAAUACGUAGGGUGCAAGCGUUAAUCGGAAUUACUGGGCGUAAAGCGUGCGCAGGCGGUUCGGAAAGAAAGAUGUGAAAUCCCAGAGCUCAACUUUGGAACUGCAUUUUUAACUGCCGGGCUAGAGUGUGUCAGAGGGAGGUGGAAUUCCGCGUGUAGCAGUGAAAUGCGUAGAUAUGCGGAGGAGCACCGAUGGCGAAGGCAGCCUCCUGGGAUAACACUGACGCUCAUGCACGAAAGCGUGGGGAGCAAACAGG
rnacentral:rRNA from 1 species